CUUACAUCCAUAGAACUUGUGAGUUUUUGGACAGUUUCUGCUUAAAUUUGUUUGCAAGAUGUCAGAUUAGCCUCCCAGAGCCGCUGUUUGGAUGUAAACUGCCUCCCACCCUCAUAGAUCUUUUGCUUGAGGAUGCUCCAAAUGUUCUCAAUAGGAUUGAGGUCAGGGGAGGAUGGAGGCCACACCAUGACUUUCUCUCCUUUUAGCCCCAUAGCAGCCAUUGAUGCAGAGGUAUUCUUUGCAGCAUGAGAUGGUGCAUUGUCAUGCAUAAAGAUGAUUUUAUUACGGAAAGCAUAGUUCUUCCUUCUGUACCAGGGAAGAAAGUGGUCAGUCAGAAACUCCACAUACUUUGCAGAGGUCAUCUUUACACCUUCGGGGACCCUAAAGGGGCCGACCAGCUCUCUUCCCAUGUUUCUGGCCCAAAACAUGACUCCACCACCACCUUGCUGACGUCGCAGCGUUGCUGGUACAGGGUGGCCGUCCACCAACCAUCCACUACUCCAUCCAUCUGGACCAUCCAGGGUUGCACGGCACUCAUCAGUGAACAGGAC
rnacentral:lncRNA from 1 species